CUGACAAGAAGGGACGUUGACAUCAUUUCUAGUCUUGUUUUGAUAGUUACUGCCACCAUGGUCCACAUACAAAAUUGUCGAGCAAUAAACAUCUUCUACAUGGAACCUGAUUCAGAGACCCAACUCCGUGCAUUUAUUUUGAGGACAGAUUGACACUUCAUGAAUAUGGGAAGAAAAACAAGUUUGACAAAGUUGCUGACAAAGUUGCAGAAGUUAAUGGUGAAAAUAGAAACUACAAAAUUACUAUUCAUCACUGUGAAAGACCAAUAAAUAGGUCUAAGUUUUCAUCUCUU